AUACGUAGGGGACAAGCGUUGUCCGGAAUGACUGGGCGUAAAGGGCGCGUAGGCGGUCUAUUAAGUCUGAUGUGAAAGGUACCGGCUCCACCGGUGAAGUGCAUUGGAAACUGGUAGACUUGAGUAUUGGAGAGGCAAGUGGAAUUCCUAGUGUAGCGGUGAAAUGCGUAGAUAUUAGGAGGAACACCAGUGGCGAAGGCGGCUUGCUGGACAAAUACUGACGCUGAGGUGCGAAAGCGUGGGGAGCGAACAGGAUUAGAUACCCUGGUAGUCCACGCCGUAAACGAUGAAUGCUAGGUGUUGGGGAAACUCAGUGCCGCAGUUAACACAAUAAGCAUUCCGCCUGGGGAGUACGACCGCAAGGUUGAAACUCAAAUGAAUUGACGGGG
rnacentral:rRNA from 1 species